GUCUGGAGUUAGUAGACUUCGGUCUGCUACCUCUUACCCAUGUCUUUUGAGUACCUUCGUUUCCUCGGCGGGUCCGCCCGCCGAUUGGACAACAUUCAAACCCUUUGCAGUUGCAAUCAGCGUCUGAAAAAACAUAAUAGUUACAACUUUCAACAACGGAUCUCUUGGUUCUGGCAUCGAUGAAGAACGCAGCGAAAUGCGAUAAGUAGUGUGAAUUGCAGAAUUCAGUGAAUCAUCGAAUCUUUGAACGCACAUUGCGCCCCUUGGUAUUCCAUGGGGCAUGCCUGUUCGAGCGUCAUUUGUACCUUCAAGCUCUGCUUGGUGUUGGGUGUUUGUCUCGCCUCCGCGUGUAGACUCGCCUUAAAACAAUUGGCAGCCGGCGUAUUGAUUUCGGAGCGCAGUACAUCUCGCGCUUUGCACUCAUAACGACGACGUCCAAAAGUACAUUUUUACACUCUUGACCUCGGAUCAGGUAGGGAUACCCGCUGAACUUAAGCAUAUCAAAGAGCGCCGGGAGAGGAGAAGCCGUUACCCUAGAGUUUUGUAGACGUCGGGUCUGCUACCUCUUACCAUGUCUUUUGAGUACCUUCGUUUCUCGGCGGGUCGCCCGCCGAUGGACAACAUUCAAACCUUUGCAGUUGCAAUCAGCGUCUGAAAAAAACAUAAUAGUUUACACUUUCACAACGGACUUGGUUCUGGCAUCGAUAAGAACGCACGGAUGCAUAGUAGUGUGAAUUGCAGAACUCAGUGAAUCAUGCACUAUCAGCUUGCUGGCUAUCAUGGGGCAUGCUGUGCGAGCUAAUGUACUCAGCUGCUGGUUGGGGUUUGUCUCGCUGGUUGAAGCCUUAACAUUGGCAGCCGCGCCUAAUGG
rnacentral:rRNA from 1 species